rnacentral:rRNA from 1 species
AGUGAACGCUGGCGGUAGGCCUAACACAUGCAAGUCGAACGGCAGCACAGAGGAGCUUGCUCCUUGGGUGGCGAGUGGCGGACGGGUGAGGAAUACAUCGGAAUCUACUCUGUCGUGGGGGAUAACGUAGGGAAACUUACGCUAAUACCGCAUACGACCUACGGGUGAAAGCAGGGGAUCUUCGGACCUUGCGCGAUUGACUGAGCCGAUGUCGAAUUAGCUAGUUGGCGGGGUAAAGGCCCACCAAGGCGACGAUCCGUAGCUGGUCUGAGAGGAUGAUCAGCCACACUGGAACUGAGACACGGUCCAGACUCCUACGGGAGGCAGCAGUGGGGAAUAUUGGACAAUGGGCGCAAGCCUGAUCCAGCCAUACCGCGUGGGUGAAGAAGGCCUUCGGGUUGUAAAGCCCUUUUGUUGGGAAAGAAAUCCAUCUGGUUAAUACCCGGGUGGGAUGACGGUACCCAAAGAAUAAGCACCGGCUAACUUCGUGCCAGCAGCCGCGGUAA